GACGAACCGAGCGACCGUUGUUCGGAAUCACUGGGCUUAAAGGGCGCGUAGGCGGGUGCUCAAGUCCGGGGUGAAAUCCCACAGCUCAACUGUGGAAUUGCCUCGGAUACUGGGCGUCUCGAGGGUGGCAGGGGUAUGCGGAACUAUCGGUGGAGCGGUGAAAUGCGUUGAUAUCGAUAGGAACUCCGGUGGCGAAGGCGGCAUACUGGUCCACUUCUGACGCUGAGGCGCGAAAGCCAGGGGAGCAAACGGG
rnacentral:rRNA from 1 species